rnacentral:rRNA from 1 species
UUGCCUACGGGGCGCAGCAGUGAGGAAUAUUGGUCAAUGGGCGGGAGCCUGAACCAGCCAAGUCGCGUGAGGGAAGAAGGUACUGAGUAUUGUAAACCUCUUUUGCCAGGGGACAAAGGCGGCCACGGGUGGCCGUAAGAGGGUACCUGGAGAAAAAGCAUCGGCUAACUCCGUGCCAGCAGCCGCGGUAAUACGGAGGAUGCGAGCGUUAUCCGGAUUUAUUGGGUUUAAAGGGAGCGCAGGCGGCGGGUCAAGUCAGCGGUAAAAUGUCGGGGCCCAACCCCGGCCUGGCGGUGCAACCGGGG